UUCAUUAAGUGAGAACCUAAAAUCGUUUGUUCCGCCACUACUUUGAUGAAAAUUUUCGUUUAAGCGCAUUUCAGAUCCAAUUUUUUUUUGUGUCAAUAGAACCAAAAAAGAUUGUUUUUGUUUUUUAUAUCAAAGUGCCACGUUUACAGCAAAAAUAAAACCUUAUCUCUUCUCUGUACGACGAGACGAACAAAACAUCAAAAAAAAUUUCUUCCCCCAAAUUGAAAUCUAGGUCUUUUUGAGUCCACCAUAGACUCCACCGUGAAGCUCGUCGGCGGCCUCAUUUCGCAUCCAUUCCGAUUUCAUAUCUCGGCGAAAAAGUGAUUAACACGAAUCGUUAUGUCUCCCUCUACCUCAAUUUUUAUUUGCUUCCUUCUCUUAUUAUCUUUCUCUAUCUAGAUCCGAGUUUGCGAUAUUUCAAGCUACCUAACAACAAAUUCCUCCAUUUUUUCAAAUUUCUUUCAACUAUUUAAGCUCCAGGUUCUUAUUUAUAUGAUUUUUCUUGUUUCUUCUUCUCUGUGAUUUGUUCCUUUUUGUGUUUAGAUGAACGAUUAGAUCUCGAGUCUGAUUUAGUCUCUUUGCGAUGGAUAUGGUUCGGAUUCGGUUUCAAAGUUUUAGUAUUUUGAUUGCUUGUAAAUCAAUAGGUGGGUUAAGCUUUUGAUUGUUCAACAUUUCUCUUUAUUAUAUGUUUUUCUGGAGAGGUCGAUAUAUUGAAUUGUAUCUAUGAUAUUGGAUGACCUAUAUGAUAUGCUUAUUUCUCUCAUGACAUCGAAUUAAAUUCAUAAGCUUGUUAUUUUUUUCUUGUUUUAGUGCACAACGCUUGCAUGAUUUGGGUGAUAAGUCGAUUCAGCAAUAGUUUUGUGUACAGAGGUCAAUGGAGAUGGAAAGUAUGAGCGGAUAAGUGGAACAAGCCUUUGGUGGAGGCACAGUUUUAGGUCCUCAAAAGCUUUUAAGAAAACUUUUGAUGAAUUGCUUUGAGUUAAGUCAACAUGGAAAUAAGACAGAGUUUUUGACAUGCUUGUGGUGGGGAUAUCUACGGUGGAAAAAAUUCUUUAAAGAUUGGUCUCUCCUCUACAAGUAUCACUUCGAGCUUUGGGAAAGCAAUUUUCUGAAUCAUUUGUUUGGAUUGCUAAGUGUAAUGAGUUGUUUCAUUCGUUAGGAUCAAGAUGGAGCACAGUUCAGAGGAUACCUCAAGGAGAAGAUAUAUCUAGACUUGAAGCCAAAGCACAACUCCAGCAUAAGGAUAGGGAAAUUGCAGCUCAAAUUUCA